GUUGGUCGUGAGUGCUGCGGGCGCAAGCCGGCUCGCUUUAAAUGGAUGAGUCGUCUGGCGUGUGUGUCCAUACAAGCGUGAUAGUUAUUUCGUUUGGCCUGGCGCGCGCGUGUGUCGAUGGCUUUCUAACCCGGGGGCGCGCUCAAGCGGCCACUUUGAACCCAGACCUCAAAUCAGGUAGGACUACCCGCUGAACUUAA
rnacentral:misc_RNA from 1 species